rnacentral:rRNA from 1 species
UCGGGAAUUUUGGGCAAUGGGCGAAAGCCUGACCCAGCAACGCCGCGUGAAGGAUGAAGUAUUUCGGUAUGUAAACUUCGAAAGAAUAGGAAGAAUAAAUGACGGUACUAUUUAUAAGGUCCGGCUAACUACGUGCCAGCAGCCGCGGUAAUACGUAGGGACCAAGCGUUGUUCGGAUUUACUGGGCGUAAAGGGCGCGUAGGCGGCAUGACAAGUCACUUGUGAAAUCUCUGGGCUUAACCCAGAACGGCCAAGUGAUACUGUCGCGCUAGAGUGCAGAAGGGGCAAUCGGAAUUCUUGGUGUAGCGGUGAAAUGCGUAGAUAUCAAGAGGAGCACCUGAGGUGAAGACGGGUUGCUGGGCUGAUACUGACACUGAGGUGCGAAAGCGUGGGGAGCAAACAGGAUUAGAUACCCUCGUAGUCCCUGAGCGGGCUGGCAAGGCGCAU